AUUGAACGCUGGCGGCAGGCCUAACACAUGCAAGUCGAGCGGAUGAAGGGUGCUUGCUCCUGGAUUCAGCGGCGGACGGGUGAGUAAUGCCUAGGAAUCUGCCUGGUAGUGGGGGAUAACGUCCGGAAACGGGCGCUAAUACCGCAUACGUCCUGCGGGAGAAAGUGGGGGAUCUUCGGACCUCACGCUAUCAGAUGAGCCUAGGUCGGAUUAGCUAGUUGGUGGGGUAAAGGCCUACCAAGGCGACGAUCCGUAACUGGUCUGAGAGGAAGAUCAGUCACACUGGAACUGAGACACGGUCCAGACUCCUACGGGAGGCAGCAGUGGGGAAUAUUGGACAAUGGGCGAAAGCCUGAUCCAGCCAUGCCGCGUGUGUGAAGAAGGUCUUCGGAUUGUAAAGCACGUUAAGUUGGGAGGAAGGGCAGUAAGUUAAUACCUUGCUGUUUUGACGGUACCAACAGAAUAAGCACCGGCUAACUUCGUG
rnacentral:rRNA from 1 species